CGAGAGCAGAACAAACAGCGAAAGCUGCAAAACGAAAAUCAACACACCUUUUCUUCAGCCAUACUCUGAAGAGCUGAAGCUUCACAUAACAUUGUCGUUCGGCUGGAAAGAUCUCCAGCGGAAACAUGGGACGCAGUGCCUGAAAACCAUGCUGUCAUGUCCAGCACCCAAUCUGAGAAUCCAGUGAGAUUCGGUGUGCGACUGCGGCGUGUCUCAGUGCACAUUUACUUCUUCAAACAAAAGGACUGAAAAAGGCCCAUGAACCGUUGAGGAAAAUCACAACUGUGUUACCAUGCCGUGUAUCCAUGGCUACUUGUUACAGUCGCAGUUUCAAAUGAAAGCAGAAGUUAUUUGCAGAAUAUAGUUGAUGAAAGGCUUUAAA